rnacentral:misc_RNA from 1 species
AAAUUUAUGUGGAGCAGAGUAUGUAGAGGGUUGUGCGAGGGUUUGUUCUAAUAUGUUGGAUCGUUUGGGGGAGUUUUUGGUUGCCAUCUAGGGAUAGGACCGCUCCGCUCUUCACUUGACGGUUUGGUGAGUAGUAUUCUAGACGUCCAGACAUGAAGUUGGUUUCUCGUUCUAAAACAGUCUGCAGUGCGACAUUAUCCACGGCCGUUUUUUCUUCACGUUACGCCUAACCCAACCGUUCAGAUUACUUCAGCACGACACCAUCAUUGGGUUUUUUUUUGGUGAUGUUUCGAAAACACUUUGUUUAGUCGAGUCGGCUCACCUUUUUGUUGCAUCGCAAUCCACAAAACUCGACUCUCAUUUCCAUUAGGAUCGCGAGAGAGAAGAGGGGGUAAAAUCGAUCGUCGAUCGCAACGUCCAUAGCGGUACUCGUAGAUAUCAGGUGUUGUUCUGGAGGAGUGGUUGUUUGCUCGAGUUGUCCUGUAUGUAAAUUUGUCCCUGGUCACUCGAAGAAGAAGAUCAGGACAGCAACGCGUUUGGUUAUUCAUAGAUUUGCUUCUUGAAGGACAAACCUGAUGGGUUUACCCCGUCUGGCAGUGUCGUCCUCAUCAGCAGCAGCAGCAGCAGCAGCACAAUGGCCUCUGAAAUGGAUGAGCACAAGGCCUCAUUAAGGGAGAAUGUCCUUUUCUAUGUGACGGCCUUCUUCUGCUUGGUGGCCGUCUUCAGCCUUUUCAUUUUCCUAUUCCUGGUGCCGUUCUUCAUCGAGCCGGCCCUGGCCACCAUUUACAUGGAGUUUGAUCCGGAGCCAGUCAUCUGUGAAACGACCGAGGCCAGCUUCCAUCGCGGCCUGUCCAACUGCCAGUGGAGCUCGUGCCGGGAAGGCUGCACCAAGGAAGUCUACGAGUGCUGGCACAUUCGGGUGCGAUAUCGCAGUCCGGUGCCAGUCGGCGACGCCGAUGCCCGCUCCGUUCGUGAUCGCAUCGUCCAGCACAAGUCAUCCAUGGCCUAUUCGCCGCUCAGUGAGCAGAGAAGCGUCAAGAGCAGCGUCUACACCAAAGGCCAGCAGCAGCAGCAGCAGCAGAGCUUUCCCAUGUCGCCCAGCAACGGGUUAUUCGGGAUGGGCGCCUCUUCAUCCGCCAGCAGUUACGACGAUCGGAUUCAAUCCGUCCUGCCGGAAGAAGACGAGAAAGAGGGGGCGUACGCCUUGGCGGAUGAAGGUGGCGAAGGGCUGCACGUCCACGAGGCCCGGCUGCAGCCCAACGUCAAAGGCUGCGGCUAUCCGCCCGACGUGGAAUGCAACAACACGUUCGCUUCGGCCUACGGCAUCCUGGGCGCCAAUUUCUCCUGCUACUACUCACUGAUUGAUCCCACCCUGGCCAUCACCCAGCUCAAUAUCGCUAAAGUCCGGGCCGAACUCAUUUACUGCCUUACGAUCCCCAUCAUCCUGUUCGUCAUCUCCGUCGUCUAUCUCUUCUAUGCCUAUUUCAAACUCUACGCCGAGCCGUCGUCCGACGGGCCGGCCGCCACUCCCAAAGGCCCGUCCAUGGACUUUGACGGAGAAGGUAGCCAAGUGGAAGGUGUGGUGGUCAGCCAGCCCAUCAGCUCUCCGAUCAACACCGGGGGAAAGUACGGACUCCUCUACCAGUUCCCGUCACCCGAUAGCACGCGGAUCAUCCGGCGGGCUAAAAGUGGCGGAGCCAUUACUACUCUAUCGGCUGCUCCGGCUGCUGGCAUAGCGAGAGGCAAAGCCUCCAGCAAGGAGACGGCCAUCCUUUUGGCUGGAACCAAAAAUUCAACAGCAGCAGCAGCAGCAGCAGGCAACUCGCAACCGCCCAUCAGUAGAGGAAUGAGAAUAUCCAAAUCAAUGGGACCGCGACUUGGCGAAUGUUCUUUGGCUGCUGCCGCCCAGGAAAAUCCUGGUAGUUUGACGCACGUUUCCUCAACAAUUUCUUCGGCACCUUCCUCCUCAUCUUCGUCGUCAACUUCUUCCUUGUCCUCUCAAUCCGAUUCCUCCUCAAUGUCUCAUCUGCCGGCCUCUUUGAGCAGCGAUUCAUCCGGUUGCAACGCAAACCUCAGCGUGACUUCAAUCCCGGUCGAGGUAUUUUCAAACGACGACAACGAUCUUGAAUAUUUCUCUCCGAAACCGAGUCCCAGACGAGGCCAGCAGCAGUCCGCCUACGCUCCGAACCAAUCAACCAAUUCGGGACGUCAACGCCGUAGGCUCCGCGAGUGCAUCCCACUCAUCUCUAAUAACCACUGACGAACAAACACAUAUCUCUCAAGGUGCAAUCUUGAACACACACACGGUGAUAUCUCUCUAUUUUUAUCGGGCAGUGAAGCACCUUCCUUCAAGUGAUCAUUCUGACUCGAAUAACUGACUAUUGAUUAGGAGAAAAAAAAGGGUCUCCAACCGUUCCGUUCGUUCGUCAAUUUUUUCCAACGACUCGAGGAGAAUAGCUUCGUCUUCGUUGUUGAGCCCCAAUGACGCCACUUGUCCGAAAACGUGCACUGUCUUCACAGCAGAGCGUACCAAGGAAUGGCACACAUCAUCAGUUGGAAUCCGCGCCAACAUUUCGCAUC